UACGGAGGGUGCGAGCGUUGUCCGGAAUCACUGGGCGUAAAGGGCGCGUAGGCGGCCUGAUAAGUAGGGGGUGAAAUCCUGCGGCUUAACCGCAGGGCUGCCUUCUAAACUGUCGGGCUAGAGCACGGUAGAGGCAGAUGGAAUUCCCGGUGUAGCGGUGGAAUGCGUAGAGAGUCGGGAAGAACAUCAGUGGCGAAGGCGGUCUGCUGGGCCGUUGCUGACGCUGAGGCGCGACAGCGUGGGGGAGCAAACAGG
rnacentral:rRNA from 1 species